UACGGGAGGCAGCAGUGGGGAAUAUUGCACAAUGGGCGCAAGCCUGAUGCAGCCAUGCCGCGUGUAUGAAGAAGGCCUUCGGGUUGUAAAGUACUUUCAGUCGUGAGGAAGGUGUUAAGGUUAAUAACCUUAGCAAUUGACGUUAGCGACAGAAGAAGCACCGGCUAACUCCGUGCCAGCAGCCGCGGUAAUACGGAGGGUGCGAGCGUUAAUCGGAAUUACUGGGCGUAAAGGGCACGCAGGCGGUUAAUUAAGUUGGAUGUGAAAUCCCCGGGCUUAACCUGGGAAUGGCAUUCAAGACUGGUUAGCUAGAGUCUUGUAGAGGGGGUAGAAUUCCAUGUGUAGCGGUGAAAUGCGUAGAGAUGUGGAGGAAUACCGGUGGCGAAGGCGGCCCCGUGGACAAAGACUGACGCUCAUGUGCGAAAGCGUGGGGAGCGAAACAGGAUUAGAUACC
rnacentral:rRNA from 1 species